CCUACGGGAGGCAGCAGUGGGGAAUAUUGCACAAUGGGGGAAACCCUGAUGCAGCGACGCCGCGUGAGUGAAGAAGUAAUUCGUUAUGUAAAGCUCUAUCAGCAGGGAAGAAAAUGACGGUACCUGAGGAAUAAGCCACGGCUAACUACGUGCCAGCAGCCGCGGCAAUACGGAGGUGGCAAGGGUUAUCCGGAUUUACGGGGUGUAAGGGGCGUGUAGGCGGGAAAGCAAGUCAGAGGUGAAAACCAGGGGUUAAACCUGGGGCCUGCAUUUGAAACUGUUUUACUGGAGUGCGGGAGAGGCAGGCGGAAUGCCUGGUGUAGCGGUGAAAUGCGUAGAUAUUAGGAGGAACACCAGUGGCGAAGGCGGUCUACUGGACAGCAACUGACGCUGAGGCGCGAAAGCGUGGGGAGCAAACAGGAUUAGAUACCCCAGUAGUC
rnacentral:rRNA from 1 species